CCUACGGGGCGCUGCAGUAGGGAAUCUUCCACAAUGGGCGAAAGCCUGAUGGAGCAACGCCGCGUGGGUGAAGAAGGUCUUCGGAUCGUAAAACCCUGUUGUUAGAGAAGAAAGUGCGUGAGAGUAACUGUUCACGUUUCGACGGUAUCUAACCAGAAAGCCACGGCUAACUACGUGCCAGCAGCCGCGGUAAUACGUAGGUGGCAAGCGUUAUCCGGAUUUAUUGGGCGUAAAGGUAACGCAGGCGGUCUUUUAAGUCUGAUGUGAAAGCCUUCGGCUUAACCGGAGUAGUGCAUUGGAAACUGGGAGACUUGAGUGCAGAAGAGGAGAGUGGAACUCCAUGUGUAGCGGUGAAAUGCGUAGAUAUAUGGAAGAACACCAGUGGCGAAAGCGGCUCUCUGGGCUGUAACUGACGCUGAGGUUCGAAAGCGUGGGUAGCAAACAGGAGUAGAUACCCUAGUAGUC
rnacentral:rRNA from 1 species